rnacentral:lncRNA from 1 species
GCAAAAGGUGCUCCUUCCACAUUCCAGAGUCUUACUCCAAGAAGAGCAUCUUCCGAGAGUCUUGAGAAUAUCUUCCUAUUUAUCAUGCUGUCCAGGAAGCAUAGCAGAAUCUACUUGGUUUCUGGGGAGAUCUCAGGAAACUUAUAAUCAUGGAGGAACUUGAAGUGUGAGCAGGCACAUCACAUGGCGAAAGCAGGAACAGAAGAGAGCAGGAUGAGGGAGUGCUUUAAAUUAAAUAACCAGUUCUCCCAAGAACUCAUUCACUACUGCAAGGACAGUACCAACAUGAUGCUACUAAAUUGUUGAAGAGAAAUCCACCCCCAUCGUCCAAUCACCCCUCUCCAACCUUGGGAAUUACAAUUCAACAUAAGAUUUAGAUGAGGACUCAGAUCCAAACCCUAUUAUUCCAUGAUCUUGAAGGUUUAUGACAUUUCCUAAAAAUCACUAGUGGUUUGCCUGGGUGCAAUGGCACAUGUCUGUAAUCCCAGCACUUUGAAAGGCCCAGGCAAGAGGAUCACUUGAGCCCAGGAGUUUGAGAUCAGCCUGGGCAACAUAGUCUCUACAAAUAUUAAUUAAUUAGGAAAGAAAGAAGAAAAAAUGAAGGAAGGAAGGAAGAGAGGGAAGGAAGGGAAGGAAGGAAACACUGGUGACUUGUUCGUAAAGCAUAUUUCUUACUCAAAUGUUUCCAGUGCUGUCUCUCAACUGCAGAGGACAGUAUUACCAGACUAUUUUUUUUUUCCGGCAUAAUGUUGUCCUCUCAAGUUUUUUAAAAUGCCCUCGCUUAAUUUGUUACCCACCAUUAUUCACAUGCGUCCUUAUCUUUUACUUGCCAUCCACCUGAGGAAAAAUCAUUCCACAGUCCAAAAGAAAAGCUAAUGAGACCUCCUAGGCUUCCUAGGGAAACUAUGGGAUAUUUUCUAUGAAUCAGCAAAUACUAAGCUCUCCUCUUUCAUGGUGAACCAAUAACAGAUUUACAUAGAGUGAAAGUCUGGUCCAUACAGUCUGCCACAAAAGAAGGUGUUAGAGUUUUUGGUGCUAAGAGAAUUUCACUUCUUGUCCAUCUCCUAAAAGGCAUACUGGAAAUUGUCAUGCACACAAGCUGAUGGGUUUAGCUUAAAAACAAAUCAAUGAAACUAGGAGAGGAGAAUUGAAUCAUGAAUAAUAAAUAUUUGAUUAUCUCAUUGUUUAAUAUUCAGAUGACACUUUAAAUAUUUAAGCUGAGUUAGAUAAACUCAAAAAUAAAUUUGUCCUAACAGGUU